rnacentral:rRNA from 1 species
AUUGAACGCUGGCGGCAGGCCUAACACAUGCAAGUCGAGCGGUAGAGAGAAGCUUGCUUCUCUUGAGAGCGGCGGACGGGUGAGUAAUGCCUAGGAAUCUGCCUAGUGGUGGGGGAUAACGUUCGGAAACGGACGCUAAUACCGCAUACGUCCUACGGGAGAAAGCGGGGGACCUUCGGGCCUCGCGCCAUUAGAUGAGCCUAGGUCGGAUUAGCUAGUUGGUGAGGUAAAGGCUCACCAAGGCGACGAUCCGUAACUGGUCUGAGAGGAUGAUCAGUCACACUGGAACUGAGACACGGUCCAGACUCCUACGGGAGGCAGCAGUGGGGAAUAUUGGACAAUGGGCGAAAGCCUGAUCCAGCCAUGCCGCGUGUGUGAAGAAGGUCUUCGGAUUGUAAAGCACUUUAAGUUGGGAGGAAGGGUAGUAACUUAAUACGUUGCUACUUUGACGUACCGACAGAAUAAGCC